AUACGUAUGUCGCAAGCGUUAUCCGGAUUUAUUGGGCGUAAAGCGCGUCUAGGCGGCUUAGUAAGUCUGAUGUGAAAAUGCGGGGCUCAACCCCGUAUUGCGUUGGAAACUGCUAAACUAGAGUACUGGAGAGGUAGGCGGAACUACAAGUGGAGAGGUGAAAUUCGUAGAUAUUUGUAGGAAUGCCGAUGGGGAAGCCAGCCUACUGGACAGAUACUGACGCUAAAGCGCGAAAGCGUGGGUAGCAAACAGGAUUAGAUACCCUGGUAGUCCACGCCGUAAACGAUGAUUACUAGGUGUUGGGGGUCGAACCUCAGCGCCCAAGCUAACGCGAUAAGUAAUCCGCCUGGGGAGUACGUACGCAAGUAUGAAACUUAAAUGAAUUGACGGGG
rnacentral:rRNA from 1 species